GAUGAACGCUGGCGGCGUGCCUAAUACAUGCAAGUCGAGCGAACAGACGAGGAGCUUGCUCCUCUGACGUUAGCGGCGGACGGGUGAGUAACACGUGUAUAACCUACCUAUAAGACUGGGAUAACUUCGGGAAACCGGAGCUAAUACCGGAUAAUAUAUUGAACCGCAUGGUUCAAUAGUGAAAGACGGUUUUGCUGUCACUUAUAGAUGGAUCCGCGCCGCAUUAGCUAGUUGUUAAGGUAACGGCUUACCAAGGCAACGAUGCGUAGCCGACCUGAGAGAGUGAUCGGCCACACUGGAACUGAGACACGGUCCAGACUCCUACGGGAGGCAGCAGUAGGGAAUCUUCCGCAAUGGGCGAAAGCCUGACGGAGCAACGCCGCGUGAGUGAUGAAGGUCUUCGGAUCGUAAAACUCUGUUAUUAGGGAAGAACAAAUGUGUAAGUAACUAUGCACGUCUUGACGGUACCUAAUCAGAAAGCCACGGCUAACUACGUG
rnacentral:rRNA from 1 species